UAAAACUUUCAACAACGGAUCUCUUGGUUCUGGCAUCGAUGAAGAACGCAGCGAAAUGCGAUAAGUAAUGUGAAUUGCAGAAUUCAGUGAAUCAUCGAAUCUUUGAACGCACAUUGCGCCCCUUGGUAUUCCGAGGGGCAUGCCUGUUCGAGCGUCAUU
rnacentral:rRNA from 2 species